CGUAGGAGACGAGCGUUAUCCGGAUUUACUGGGCGUAAAGCGUGAGCAGGCGGUUCGGCAAGUUGGAUGUGAAAUCUCCCGGCUCAACUGGGAGGGGUCGUUCAAUACUACCGAACUUGAGGUCAUCAGAGGAAGGUGGAAUUCCGGGUGUAGUGGUGAAAUGCGUAGAUAUCCGGAGGAACACCAGUGGCGAAGGCGGCCUUCAGGGAUGAUCCUGACGCUCAGACACGAAAGCUAGGGGAGCGAACGGGAUUAGAGACCCCGGUAGUCCUAGCUGUAAACGAUGUAGACUUGGCGUCGGAGGGUUCAAAACCUUCGGUGUCGUAGCUAACGCGAUAAGUCUACCGCCUGGGGACUACGGCCGCAAGGUUA
rnacentral:rRNA from 1 species